UACGUAGGGGGCAAGCGUUGUCCGGAUUUAUUGGGCGUAAAGAGCGUGUAGGCGGCUUUCUAAGUCAGGGGUGAAAUCCUGGAGCUCAACUCCAGAACUGCCUUUGAUACUGGGAAGCUCGAGUCCGGAAGAGGUGAGUGGAACUCCGAGUGUAGAGGUGAAAUUCGUAGAUAUUCGGAAGAACACCAGUGGCGAAGGCGACUUACUGGACACAUAUUGACGCUGAGGUGCGAAAGCGUGGGGAGCAAACAGG
rnacentral:rRNA from 1 species